rnacentral:lncRNA from 1 species
CUAGAGAGUGAGUGUCAGUGUAGUGCUGAGGCACAAUGACCUGUCUAUAACACAAGGCUCAGGGACUAUUAAUGAAGAGGGGGCAGAAUGAUUGCAAGAGCUGGAGGUUGGGGAGGGCUGCAUUGAAACUGUGUCUUUUGGACACCACAGGACUCUUGCCCUCAUGAACUUACAGCAACUGUGGUUGCUUGCACAAGACCUGUAUAAAAUCAAGCUUGUCAACAUUCUAGAAUGGUGGGGGAAAGUUCAUAAACGCCCACAGUGAACUGAGGAGCUGUGGACAGCUGAUGGCUCUAGGAAAGAGACCACUGGAAGAGACCAAGUGGCUGAGUUCAGGCUGUCGUUCAGACUGACCCCAAUGCUUCAUCUUGAAAUUCUCAUGUUGUGGUGAUUGCUUCAAGCACUUUAAUGAACACGGCAUAGUGGGGAGCAGAUGAAAUCCUAGUGAAUGUGUAC